AUCAGCACACUGUCAUGCUGGUGUACUAAAGAGCUGAAAGUCAGUGUGUUCUUCUCCCAGUGUGUGCUACACCACCAUGAUCAUUUUCACUGUACUGCUGCUCUCUGCUCUUACAGGUAACAGAGCUGAAGACGUCAUCACUCCUAGCAGAGACGCUGUUUUUGCUGUUGAAGGUCAGAAUGUUUCUCUCUCCUGUAACUACACUGUAACUGGAGCUGUAAACAGUUAUGCUUUUCACUGGUAUCGACAGUAUUCAGGAUCUCCCCAGUUCCUCAUACUGGACUAUGCAGGGGUCAUUACUGAAGCUAAACCUCCAGUUCCUAGAAUAUCCAUCAACCAUCAAAAAGAAAAGAGGAAAGUGGAUCUGAUCAUCUCCUCUACUGCAGUAUCAGACUCUGCUCUGUACUACUGCGCUCUGGAGCCCACAGUGACAGAAACCCACCAAACACUGUACUAAAACUUUACUUGUGAAAUAUGUAGAAACACUUAUAUUUCAGGAGGGGGCGCUGUUUCUCUUCUGCUUCUUUAUCUUCAGCUUCCUCACCAUUCAGGUUAGAACAUCAGUCUGCUUUGGAACAUCAGUCAUCAUGUUGUGACCUACAGUAAACUGGAACUCUCUAUAACCCUUUAUAAAUGUUCACAGAUACUUCUGUAAAAUAUGUAAUGUCAUAUUCUUUGCACAAACAUUUAUCUCUCAUUUUUAUUUAUUUUUUUAUAGACUAUUUCGAUUAAUUACAUAAUUGAAAGAGAAAUGCAUUGUGUAAGUUGACACCACUUAAAUUUAAAAUUAACUUAUAAAAAAGGCAAUAAACUAUAUUUUGGUUACUACACCAUAUCCCUUAUUUACAUACUUAUUUUUUAUAUUCAUUUUUUUAUUAACUUUUACAAUGCAUUUCUACGUCCAAUAAAAUGAGGUGUACAAGUGGGUCAUGGAUAAAAAUAUGUAAAUGUGCAACAAUAUGUAAAUACAUAUAUUUGGUUGUAUAUAUUUUUACCAUAUUCUUACAUUCUUGUUGUAAACUUACUAGAACAAGUUUUAGUAACAGUAGCAGUGUGAAGCUUCACCACUGAUUAAAGACACACAAACAGACACGCCCACUCAAACCUGAACUGAGGUCCACCAAUCAGCUCCUUCACACAGGUAUGAAAAAACACCUGACAUCGUUAAUAGAAAAUUAAAAACUCUAACUGAACUUUUUUAUUCACUUAUUUACUUUUCUGAAGCACUUUAGAUGCACUUUUCUCAAAAGCACACUGUAUUUUUCAUGUGUCUCUCCUUUUUUAACUACUUGAAGUAGAUUUUGAAGAAUCUGUAUAAUUCAUUAAUGUGUUGUUUAUAAUUAAUUAGUGAAUUUGAAUUUCUUUUCAGUUGUUGAUGAUAUAAAAGGCUACUGUAAUAUACAGGACAUGGCACUGAAUAAUAAAAGUGUUUGUAUAAAAUCUGGAACAUGUA